CCCACAUGUUCCACAGAGCACUGACGCGUAAAAAGCACAUGAUGCAACAGCAGCCGGGAGGAAAGCCACCGUCUCAUCGAGGAGACUUUGACAUCACAGCAAACCAGCAGCCUCCUGGACUCAGUUCGGCUCCAAGGUUCUCAUCUAAAUCCUCUUGAGCCGCCUGGUCACAGCGUGCGGCUGUGCGUAAAAAUGGAGCUGUCGGCGUGCACGCAGCACAGCGCUCUUACGCACACGCACAGACAUUGCACACUCGGAGAAACUUGCUUUAUGUGAAGGCUGCGGCGUGCAUGGCAGCUUCUUCACAAACUGAUGAUGUGAAGUAACGCCAUGUGGACCAGAACCGGGCGAGUCCGUCAGUUGCGCUGAGGAAGGAUGCUGAGUGAAGAUGCAGAAGGACAUUUGAGACAAGCUUACACAUUCCAUAACUCCAUUUGGGCUCUGUAAGUAUGAGCAGGACCAACAUGGAGAGUCUCAGUGAGCUCCAGAAUCCUCUUCUCGACAAAAGCAACAGACAUGUCGUGCAGGGUUACCGUGGCGACUACCCAACCCAGCAGUACCAUGAGGACAGCUUUGUGAGCUACUACUACAGCGGGACUAAUGAUGAGCACAAGUCUCAGCAGUUUCUAGACGCCACCUCACUUCAUCUUGCAGUGGAGGCCUUCUACAAACCAAACUUGAUCUUGUGUAAGGACAACGUCAGCCUCCACAGCAAAGACUCCAAGAGCGAGAGCUUUGAAACCACCUUCACAGAGAGUAAGGACGCGGUGCUGGGCGAGGACUCCGCAGACAACCAAAGCGCGCAAGGAGAGAAGGAUGUAAAGAUCCAGACGGUGUCAUAUGACGUGGAGGACGAGCAAGUUCCUGAGUAUGAGAGUGAUAGCUCCAGUGAAAGCGAGAGUGAGGACAACUUCCUGGUUCUCCCACCUCGAGACUACCUGGGCCUCGCCAUUUUCUCCAUGCUCUGCUGCUUCUGGCCUUUGGGCAUUGUUGCCUUCUACUAUUCUCACAAGGAAGGUUCUAGACUGAUGGAUGGAGUCAGGACACCUCAUUUAAAGCCAGCAGCAUCCAUCCUGCCUCCAUGAAUCCACAAACAGCAGACAGCCUCAUCUCAACAGAUGGUGCGACGGAUAAUAAGAACCAACCCAGGCAUGCAACCAGAGGGUGGGAGAGAGGAGAAGGACAUCAACAAUCAGUAAAGGACCACUGAGUUCAGAUUGUGGUGCAACACAAGCUCUGCUGAUACAACCAUCAUCUUCGGGAUGGAAGUUUUGCGAGUAUUUUAGGGAGGAAAAGUGUGUUUGCAGCUCAUAUUCCCCACCAAGCAGAGGUGAGAGGACUCACAGGAGCGCUGGUCUUCUCCUCCUGCUCCUCCUCGUCUUCCAGUGUGCUACCGUGACAAACCGUCCCCAGCACUUUGGCACUAUGCUCCUGUGCUUUGGCCCUGAGGGCAGCAAUGCUGUUCUCUCUCAGUUUCUCUUUAGAAAUGGACGACUUGCACUUUGACAUCCGCUCCACCGUCUCAGAGUCCUCGGGUCUGUGAGAGCUCGGCCGCGGGGUCUCGUUGCACUUGGCGGCCGGCGGCGGCGGUUCAGGGGGUGCUGGAGCCUCCAUGGACUUCUUGUGCAUCCCUGCAAAGAGUUGCGGGUAUUCAGAUUUAGAAUAGCGUCUGCUGACUGGUAAGCCAUCUUGAACUGAAAACAGCAAGCAAAGACAGUCGUGCUUUAGAACACAAAGACAACAGUGGAGGCACAAUAAUGUCUUUAAUGUACCAAAUUGACCCAAAUAUAAGACCCUGCUCACUAUAAAGUGCUAUUCAAAAGCUUUUAUUUUAUACACACAUGAGUUUAAUGUCAAAUAUGUGUCGCUAUAACUGACAAUGGUGCCCUGUCAUACACUACCACUCAGUGGCCAGCUGUUGUAAGUGCAAAUUAAAAAGACAUUUUACGGACCAUAGGGCACACCGGAUAAUAAGGCGCACAGCCGAUGAGCGGGUCUCGUCAGGUCUAUUUUCAUACAAAAGGCGUAUCGGAUUGUAAGGCGCAUUAAAAGGGUCAUAUUAUGAUUUUUUUCUAAAUUGAAAACACUUCCGUGUGGUCUACAUAACAUGUAAUGGUGGUUCUUUGGUGAAAAUGUUGCAUCGAUUAUGUUUUACAGACCAUCUUCAAGUCGCUUUCUGACAGUCGCUUCAGGAUGCGCCGUUUUGUGGGCGGUCUUAUUUACGUGGCUCACCUUUGACAGCGUCUUCUCCCCGUCUUCUUUGUUGUAGCGGUGUAGCGUGCAAGGACGGGACUGGAAGAAGUGUCAAAAGAUAAAGCUAACUGUUUUAAUGACAUUCAGACUUUACUUAAAUUAAUACCGGAGCAGCAUCUUCUCAUCCGUGGCUCACUAGUGCAACAACAACGCCGGAAAUGUGUCCUUUGAAAAACCGUCCGACCAGAACUCUCUAAUAAGUAAAGUUCUGUAGGUGAAUUAUGUAAACCCACUACACUGGUAGUUUUAGCACUUUCAUAGCGAGUCUACUGAAACUUUACGCCCCAUAACAAGAAGAUAAGAGAAAAAGAAGAAGCUUAUUUGCUACGGCGAUUCACGCACGAAAAGGAGGACGUGCGCAAAUUUUUUAGGACUUAUGUAGAUCCCAAAUACACAUCAGCAGGUACCAGAAGGUAAGAAAAGUUGGUUUUACAUAAUAUUGAGAAACAAAACGCCGGUUAAUAUGUCUGCUCACGGGUGCCAUAUGUUUAAGCACAAUACGUCUGACUACGGUAGCCGCAAUGCUUCGACAAUCCAUCAAGCGGCGCAGCUUCAUAGUUUACCAAAGUCGUACUAAAACAUUUUGACAGAUUUUUGAGCUCCGUGUGUAAUGUGCUAUAUUCUUAAAGGAACAUUUAAAGUUUUGGUGUCGUUUACUGGCGUCAUAUUGCAGUCUACACAUAUCUCUUAUGUGUGACUGCCAUCAACUGGUUACACUUAUCAUUACACCAUGUACCAAAUAAAAUUACUUCUUGGUCGGUAUCUACAACCAUAAUUAUUCCAUACAUAAGGCACACAUAGUUUGGAAAAUACGAUACAAAAACAAUAUUUUUCAUAGGUAUAACACAGAGGAGGAUGCAUUUAUACAUAUAAUGAAAUGAGUGGGUUUAUUAUUGUGAGUAUAUGUGAAUAAAAUUAAAUAUAUGUUCUCCCUGUGACUGCGUAGGUUCCCUGCGGCUACGCUGGCUUCCUCCCACCUCCAAAGAUUGACUGAUUGGCAACACUAAAUGGUCCCUAGUGUGUGAAUGUAAGUGUGAAUGUUGUCUGUCUAUCUGUGUUGGCCCUGUGAUGAGGUGGCGACUUGUUCAGGGUGUACCGAGCCUUCCGCCUGAGUGCAGUUGGGAUAGGCUCCAGCACCCCCUCGACCCCAAGAGGGACAAGCGGUAGAAAAUGGAUGGAUGUCUCCUGUUAAUAUACUUUAUAUUGUCAAGUAUCACGUGAUUAUGUACCAUAUUGUUGUUUAAUAAUCAAAUUAUCCGAGUGAUGGGGAAAGGGAAUAUAAGCCUUUGGUUCUUCCUGCUCCUUUUCAUACACACAAUGCUUCUUU